rfam:Brassica oleracea var. oleracea cultivar TO1000 chromosome C2, whole genome shotgun sequence
GGAAUAUAAGAACCCGUCUUUUAACUUUUAACUAAAAAAGCUAAGAACCGUCUUUUAAAACUCUUAUUUAAGAGCCAAUUCUUAGCUUUUUUAGUUAAAAAAUAAGAGACAGGUUCUUAUAUUCC